UUGCCAUGAUGAUGAUUUGUCUGUAUGAACUUUACGUUGAUUGAAAUCCAACUAACAUACGAGCUUUUUAACUCUGAGCAAA
rnacentral:snoRNA from 1 species